rnacentral:lncRNA from 1 species
UUCUUGAGCACUUCUUUCUCUUUCCAUAAUGGAGAAUUAUCCAACGAUAUUUCAGUCUUCAUCUUCAACCGCAUCUGGUUCUCAUAUGUCUAUAUUAAACAUGGCAAAUUCUCAUGCAGCAGCUGAAUUUCAAGAUCAAAAGUUAAAUGGAUACUUGGGGCAGAUGCCACCUCGUACUGAAAUUCCUAGUUUAGACAUGACUGAUAUUGUUGCUCGGAGGAAUAACCUUGUAGAUGCUGGAACCGCAGGCAAGAAAAUUAAGGUUGAGAAGAAAUCUCGAAAACCUAGGUAUGCUUUUCAGACAAGAAGUCAGGUUGAUAUACUGGAUGAUGGGUACAGAUGGAGAAAAUAUGGUCAGAAAGCUGUGAAAAACAACAGAUUUCCAAGGUCUGUUGCUUCUUCUUAUUCCCACUUAAUUUCAGUUUCUUAUAUAACUUUUAAGUGAAUAAUCAGUCUGCUUUGCAGUAAAUAUGCACAUCUUGUGUGUGUUUACGUUUGGUUGAAUGCUAGACUUUGUUUUUGGAAAAUUAAUGUUUAAACCUUGUUUCAGUGUUUGGUUGCUAUGGAUCUUUCUUGACUUACAUCGAUGAAUAGACAGACUUACAAUAUAGUGAAAUUUCUAUAGUUCGAUUUCUUGGUAAGAAUAAGAAAAAACAACUUCAUAGUACCUCCAAGAAUCGAAUCACUUCGAGUAUAGAAAUGAGAUGUGUUUCUCAUCCAAAAAGAUUCAUUUCUUAUCAAGUCUUUGAUGUGCACAUUUUUGGACUAAUAUUCUUUUUUCAUGUUUAACCAAUUUGUCUACAAGUUAAGAUGUUAGAGACAUUGACAUAUACAUGAUGUGAUUAAUUAGGCAAACGUUUAUCUCAAGAACUGACCAGGAAGAAAAGUCCCCGGCCCCUCAAAUUCUACAUAAGGCCUAACUUCACUACGAGCUAAAGCCUAUCCAAAAUUAUGAAUUUUUUUAUUUUUGACAUAAAAGGGUACUUAUAUUGUCAUAAACACCAAUAAGAGAAUUCUGAAACAGAUCCCUUAGUUAUGAGCAUGCAAUCUAUAUUAGUCUGAAAUGUCCCUUUCGUUUUAUUCACGGUAUGAGUAAAAGACUGUUAUUUGGUGACUGCAGAUCUUAACUUGUUUUUAAGAUAGACCAUGAAAUAAAAUCUAAAGCUUAUCCAUCUUCCUAAGGUGGGAGAUCCCUACACAACACAACUUACUAGGUCUUCUUUAUCCAUCUUGUGUACGAACUUUGAUUAAGUAUCUUCAUUCCAAUCCCUAAAUGAGACCUUAAGAGAAUUCGUAGAAGCACUGCCUGAAAUUUGAAUACCCUGCAAUUUCGAUCCUAAAGUUUUAUUCUCGAUAAAUAUGAGUUGACAAUAGUUAGUUAAUUACAACAUCGAUCUACUAGACAUCAGAGGACAUCUCAACGAAAAUUAUAAUAAGAUGUGACGAGGUACUACUCUAGUUGCAGUCAUCCUCCUUCAUUGGGAAGAGCUAUAUAUACUAAGGCCCUGUUUGAUUGCAACAUUUUCCAUGGAAAAUGUCAUGUCCAAGGAAAAUAAUUUUCACUUUGACUAUUUGAUUCGCAUGUGGAAAUGGAAUUCGAAUUCUUAUGUACAACCAUUUAAAGCACGUUUUUGGCCAAUUCUAUGGAAAACGAAUUCUUAUGGGUAUGGUGGUUUUUUGUUUUCCAACUUAGGUGGAAUUACUUUUCCUUUUCCUCUUUCGCAAUCAAACGGGGCCUAACUUCCAUAGUUAAUUAGGCCACAAUUUUUGGUUAUUUAUGCUGGCAUUUAGCGUAAAUUUUAAAUAUGUAUGUUGUAUGUAUUAAUUCCCUCCUAAGAUUAUCUUUGCCAAAUGAUCCUGGAGGAAAUUUGGUCAUGGACUAAAUGAAACUAAGGUAUAACAAUUUUCAGUUUAUUGCUUAGUAAUAUACUAAUAACUUGACGUUAAUUCGUAAUUUUGUUUCUUGAAUCUUUAAAUUUGUUGUAUUAAUCAACACUAACGAAUUUCUUGUUCUCUUUUGUUUCUGCAGAAGCUAUUAUCGUUGCACGCAUCAAGGGUGCAAUGUUAAGAAGCAAGUUCAAAGGCUAUCUAAAGACGAAGAAGUAGUAGUAACAACAUAUGAAGGAAUGCACUCCCAUCCAAUCCAGAAAUCCAUGGAAAACUUUGAGCAUAUUCUCAGUCAAAUGCAAAUUUACACUUCCUCUUAAGUCCAAAUCAUAUUCCACAGUCAUAUUUAGAAUUAAAAGAACAUUUUGUAUACCAGAUAUAUAUUUGAAUAAUCUGUACGAUCCCCUAAAACGUUAAAGU